UGGUAGGAGAGGGAUGGUUGUAACCUGUCUUCUAUCAGAGGAUAUUUUCCUCCAAAUUUGUCUAAACUGGCACACAGGUCAUAUCCAGCUAAACUGCCGUGUUAUCUGGCAAAAGAGAGCCUGCAGCCCCUUGUUUUCCUUCACAUCCAGGUGGACCCUCCAACCUAAAUGGGCAAUCUAUCAGUCACCUGUGCUACCUAACCAACUAACUCUCCUGCAGGAGACAACUAAUUUUAGAUACAAAGGAGCAGCAUGUAUGCUCUUUUCCUUACUGUAUUUGGCAUCUUGCCAUGUCUUCUUUGUUGAGGAAUACAUUUAGUGCAAGUAGCUUGGUUUGCAAGCUGAAGCGAGAGCUGCAGAGGGAACUCUGGGUGUCCGGAGCCCCAGGCAAGAGGAGGUGAACUGCCGACACUUUGCAUACCAAAGGGCACGGGGACUUGUGCCCCAGACAGAGUGUGCUCGGCAGAGGUCAGUGUCCUGUCUGGGUACAAGGUCAGCAUUGGUGUACUUCAGACAGACUGAAAGCAGCUCUAACUUCAUCCUGCAUGCUGAGACACAGUUGGACUGUGGAAGUGUGCUGGACUUUCUGUCCUUCCACUGUAAAAUUAUUGAAGAAGACAACAAGUUGAACAUCAGCCAAGGAUGCACCCUUGCAGCAAAGCAGGCCAACAGCCUCCUGAGGUGCAGUAGGCGAAGCAUUGCCAGCAGGUUGAGGUAGGCAGUCCUUCUCCUCUACUCAGCAGUGGCGAGAUACAUCUGGAGUCCUAAAUUUCCAGCUGAAGAAAGGCAUGAUCAUACUGGACCGACUUCAGCCACAGACCACAAAGAUGAUUAAUAACAUGAAGCAUCUGUCAUGAGUGGUUUGGAGAGCUGGGGCAGUUCAGCCUGGAGAAGAGAUGCCUCAUGGGGCUUAUGCAUUUAAAAAUAUCUUUGAGGACAUUAAAUAAAGUGGAACCAGUCUCUCCUUUGUGGUAUCCAAUGAUCCAAGGAUAAGAGGCAGUGGGCACAGUUUUAAUUCCACCUAAACCUGAGACCAAAACUUGGGGGGGGUGGGUUCAGUGAGUAUGGCCAGAAUCUUGUAGAGGUUGCCCAAAGUGGUGGUGGAAUCUACAUCCUUGGAGAUACUUAAAACCUUGACUGUACACCAUCUGCAGCAACCCACUCUAGCUAAUUCUUCUCUGAUCAGCAGUGUUGGCCUAGUCCAGAUGUCACUGCUACCUGACUGCCUCAGUGAUUCUGUCUGUUCGUGGGUGAGUCACAGACUAAAAGGAUGAAAAUAAGUUUCAGUGACUAAAAUAGUUUUGAUGACAUCAGCUGUCCUGCUGUGCCAGAUGUGACCCCCAAGAUGACAUUACAUGUUAAAAAUACCUUCAGGUCUCAACAAUUUUUUUUUGUCUUUUAUGUUAGUAUCCUUUCAAAUUAUUUUAUUUCAAUUUUUAAAAUCUUCUUUAUCAUAGAAAGCUUUGCUGGGAAAUUAUAAUAUUCAGUCUCAAGAGGAGAAAAAGUAUAUUUUUCUGCCUUAAAAACAUCUUUGCAAAGAAGGUAUUUCCUGAGAAAAACUAUGUUACAGCAAGUCAUGAUGAUAAGACAAUCUUUUUACCUGUAAGAGAACAAUAGAUUGUUUAGUCCAUAGUUUCUUUCAUGCAUGAUAUGAGCAUUUUUGUUACAUUUCAUGCACUCCUUGGGUCAAGUUACUAACAUAUGUAUAGUUUAAAUUAUUCAUCUUGGACAACCACACGGGUUUAGCAAGCAGAUUUACAAAAGUGCUCUUCAGAACAAAAAAAAAUAUUGCAGAAGACAUAAAUGCUGUUGUAUUAUCUCAGUAAAUAUUAAAGAUAUUUUAAAGGAAGAAAGGAAGAAAGGAUGAUCAAAUACUUUCUGUUGGCUGCAUGUAUUCCUUUGGUGAAGAAGCUGGUACUAGGUCUCAGAGGUGUGGCAAUCUUCCUUUAAAAUAUUGAAUAUUCAGAAGCAAUAUAUCAAGUUACAUUUUAUUAGUUUAAGUUCUUCUUAGUGCAUAUAGACUCUGCCUUCAUCUAUUGACAUAAGAAAAAAGAUUAUGUCAACAACACUCCUCAGAGGUGCCUAUCUAUCCAUUUUCUGCUUUGUUCCUUGUGCUCAGGAUUGGCAGUUCAAUUGUUCUGGUUUGUGACAAGAGUCAGCUCCCUGAGCUCCAAUUUCCAUUAGAGGUUACUUACAAAAAAUGUAAGCUCCCUUUAACCUUAAUAAUAGAGGAAAUUAAACUGCAAAUAGCAAGAGUGAAGCACAUCCAUGACUGAAUGCUUGGAUGGAAGGAUGAAAUAUGCAGAAGCAGAUCUUUCACAUGAUUCUGUAAUAUGAUUCAGAACAUACACCAUAGUAAAUAUUAUUAUUGGUUGAAGUGAAAGUAUAUAAAUUUCAGAACUGUUGUAUGAGUUUUCCUCAUAUUUUUAAGGAGAUACUAAAGAACAGGGCAUGAACAUAUUACAUGAGCAACAAUUUCAAUAAGGUGAUUUUUAUGAUACUAUAGUGGUGGAAUUUGUUUCAAAACUGAUUCCUUGCCUAAGAAUUGAUUUCCACAAGAUCAUUGAUCAUCUUGAAGAAUCUGAUUUUUGCAUAGAUGUUUAUGGCUUCACUUUCUACCUCCUCUGUUUUUCUUUGUCACAGGCUUACAAAACAAAGUACUAUAACUGUCUUUGUCUGAAAAUUAAAAAUCAAAAUAUUCAGCCUGUACCUAAAACCAGAUAUCAAUUAUUUAUCUUGCUAAGAGGAAAACACAGAUCAGUUCUGUAAAACUCUUCUAAACAAUUCAAAAAAUUGUUAUCAAUGGUUUUUCAAGAUGUUGUUAUGGAUCUUCACAUCACUCAAUUUUGCUUCCUGUUUAUUGAUGAAAGGUGAGGGGAAAGGAUUGAUGGCUCUGCUCACACUGAUAUUGUUCCAGCCCCAAGGGUUGUCCCUGGUCCUCGGUGCAUGCGAUGGAGCUGCACAAGACAAGGAGAUUCUGCUGCCCAUUGCUCCAGUGCUGUUCUCAGAGCACAAUUAAUUUCAGAAGGGAUCCAUAGGUAUCAAUCACACCAUCUGCAGUAAGGACAGUUACAGCCAGCAAGGAGUAUUGCACAGCAGGAUUACAAACCUGUAUAAGCCUGUACAAUGCUUCUGUUCUGGACUAUCUUCGGAGAGAACCCCAUCUCUUUUCACUUAUCCCAUGGUAACCUAGAAAAAAGAGGUAAAUUUAGUAUCUAAAUACAUGUCAUAGUCUGAGUCUGCUUGAAUAAUAUGACAUAAGGAAUAAAGAGUAUUAAGCUGGUAACUCCACUGUCAUUUGAAUAGUUUGCUUUUACUUGUUUUCCUAAUAAACUCUGGUCUGCCCUGAAGUGCACUUUUUUGUCUUGCCAUAGUAUUUGAAUGAGUCAUUUCCAUAAUUAAUUCUGUCUAUUAUUUUUCUUCUCAGAAUUAUCUUCUCUCCUUCUGAGUCCAUUCCCUUUUUCAGGCUCUCAGAAUCUCUUCCCAUAUCAAAGCUGUGUGGGUCUUAUAUUUGCA